rnacentral:rRNA from 1 species
GACGAAGGAUGCAAGCGUUAUCCGGAUUCAUUGGGUUUAAAGGGAGCGUAGGUGGCCUUAUAAGUCAGUGGUGAAAUCUCUGGGCUUAACCCAGAAAUUGCCAUUGAUACUGUAGGGCUUGAGUAUAGUUGCCGUUGGCGGAAUAUGUCAUGUAGUGGUGAAAUACAUAGAGAUGUCAUAGAACACCGAUUGCGAAGGCAGCUGACGAAACUAUAACUGACACUGAGGCUCGAAAGUGCGGGGAUCAAACAGG